CCUCCCCCGACAUCCCGCUGCACCAGUGCUCCUGAGGACAAGCCGCUGUGAGGGGCUGCUGCGUGGACUCAAGCAGAGUCCUCGAGGGAGCAUGCAAGGAUUCAGGGGAAUCAGCUCCACCGAACUCCGCUUGGGAGGAGUGGCUGCGUCACUGCUCCAUCCCAGGACACGGACUGUGGGGAAUCAAGAGAGAAGGGAAAGCCCCCCGCUCGGCCUGCCUCCCGCACCACAUCGCUCAGCCAGGACUCAGCUCAGGUUGCCGCCAAGGCCCACGCGGGCAUCUACGAGGCCUUGUGCCUCAGUUUCAGGACCAGAUCCACGAUCUCCACCUCGGACUUGUCCUGCAUCCAGAUCUCGAGGUUCUGCGGGGACAAGAUGGGACCUUCCAUCGCCGAGGCCCUCGCCCAGCUCUGGGCCUGUGUCCGCCCCCCCUACACUCUCCUCCGGCCCCUGUGCGGGGCUCGCACCCCUCUGUGCUCUCCCGCAGCCGAGCGCCCCCCUCACCGCCUCACAGAUGGCCUCAAGGUGCAGGGCCUCCAGCUUCUGGGCCAUCUCUUUGUGCCGCUGUCGGUACCAGCCAUCAAAAUGGGGGGACUUGAAAAACCGCCUGUGGGGGGCAAGGGGCAGCAGGUGUGGGCUGACGCUGUGUGUUGAGGGAUGGGCAUGGCCACCAGCAGCAGGGGCCCCAGGACCCUACCUACUGUCCACCCACCUGUAGAGGCCCAGCCAGUCGCCCUUGAGGAGGCAGGUGAGCUGGGGCCCUGAGCGCUCCAGGCUACGCAGGAAGUCGUCCUGGCGGAAGGGGUGGAUCUGGGGAGGGGUCUGAGACAGGGGCUGGGUGAGCCUGGGUGCU